AUAUCAAUAAGCGGAGGAAAAGAAACCAACAGGGAUUACCUCAGUAACGGCGAGUGAAGCGGUAACAGCUCAAAUUUGAAAUCUGGCUCUUUCAGGGUCCGAGUUGUAAUUUGUAGAAGAUGCUUCGAGUAUGGAUCCGGUCUAAGUUCCUUGGAACAGGACGUCAUAGAGGGUCGAGAAUCCCGUAUGUGACUGGGUGCUUUUGCUCAUGUGAAGCUCUUUCGACGAGUCGAGUUGUUUGGGAAUGCAGCUCAAAAUGGGUGGUAUAUUUCAUCUAAAGCUAAAUAUUGGCCAGAGACCGAUAGCGCACAAGUAGAGUGAUCGAAAGAUGAAAAGCACUUUGGAAAGAGAGUUAAACAGUACGUGAAAUUGUUGAAAGGGAAGCGCUGGCAACCAGACUUGCACGCUGUCGAUCAUCCGAACUUCUGUCCGGCGCACUCGACUGCGUUCAGGCCAGCAUCGGUUUCGGUGGUGUGAUAAAGGCCUUGGGAAUGUAGCUUCUUUCGGGGAGUGUUAUAGCCCUCGGUGCAAUGCCGCCUCCCGGGACCGAGGAACGCCCUUCGGCUAGGAUGCUGGCGUAAUGGUUGUAAGCGA
rnacentral:rRNA from 1 species